UCCCUGAUGGUCCAGCGGUUAGCACUUGGUAUUUUCACUGCCAUGCCCUGGGUUCAACCCCUGGUCAGAGAA
rnacentral:tRNA from 1 species